rnacentral:rRNA from 1 species
ACGUAGGGUCCAAGCGUUGUCCGGAUUUACUGGGCGUAAAGAGCGCGUAGGCGGUCUGUUAAGUGUGAAGUGAAAUCUCCAGGGCUCAACCCGGAAACCGCUUCGCAUACUGGCAGACUGGAGGGAUGCAGAGGUGAGUGGAAUUCCUGGUGUACCGGUGAAAUGGGUAGAUAUCAGGAGGAACACCCAUGGCGAAGGCAGCUCACUGGGCAUCUCCUGACGCUGAGGCGCGAAAGUGUGGGUAGCAAACAGGAUUAGAUACCCUGGUAGUCCACACCCUAAACGAUGGAUACUAGGCGUAAGGGGUAUCGACCCCCCUUGUGCCGCAGCUAACGCACUAAGUAUCCCGCCUGGGGAGUACGGCCGCAAGGUUG